GGCACCUUCGGUGUCCGAGUUGUAAUCUCUAGAAGUGUUUUCCGCGUUGGACCGCACACAAGUCUGUUGGAAUACAGCGGCAUAGUGGUGAGACCCCCGUAUAUGGUGCGGACGCCCAACGCUUUGUGAUACACUUUCGAAGAGUCGAGUUGUUUGGGAAUGCAGCUCAAAUUGGGUGGUAAAUUCCAUCUAAAGCUAAAUAUUGGCGAGAGACCGAUAGCGAACAAGUACCGUGAGGGAAAGAUGAAAAGCACUUUGGAAAGAGAGUUAACAGUACGUGAAAUUGUUGGAAGGGAAACGCUUGAAGUCAGACUUGCUUGCCGAGCAAUCGGUUUGCAGGCCAGCAUCAGUUUUCCGGGGUGGAUAAUGGUAGAGAGAAGGUAGCAGUUUCGGCUGUGUUAUAGCUCUUUGCUGGAUACACCUUGGGGGACUGAGGAACGCAGUGUGCCUUACGGCGGAUUUCUCGAGAUCUUCACACUUAGGAUGCUGGUGGAAUGGCUUUAAACGAC
rnacentral:rRNA from 1 species